rnacentral:tRNA from 1 species
GCCCCCCUAGCUCAGUCGGCAGAGCGCUUCCAUGGUAAGGAAGAGGUCAACGGUUCGAUUCCGUUGGGGGGCU